rnacentral:rRNA from 1 species
UACAGAGGGUGCGAGCGUUAAUCGGAAUUACUGGGCGUAAAGCGUGCGUAGACGGCUAUCUAAGUCGGGUGUGAAAGCCCCGGGCUCAACCUGGGAAUUGCAUUCGAGACUGAAUAGCUAGGGUACGGUAGAGGGAAGCGGAAUUUCCGGUGUAGCGGUGAAAUGCGUAGAUAUCUGGAGGAACACCGGUGGCGAAGGCGGCAUCCUGGACCGGCAUUGACGCUGAGGAGCGAAAGCCAGGGGAGCAAACGGG